UGCCCUGUAGUGUAACGGCAGCACGACUGAUUCUGGUUCAGUUAGUCUUGGUUCAAAUCCAGGCAGGGCAGCCA
rnacentral:tRNA from 1 species